AUUCAAACCAAACUUUGCAAAGUACCAGAAAUAAUGAUGGUAUACAAAAAUGUAACAUGAACUGGUGACUAUUUCCGUACACAACAACCAUUCCAGUUCUCUAAAAACCUGGAAAAAAUUAAUCUGAUUUCAGUUUGUUUUUAUUACCGAAAUACAUGACACAAUGCUUUUAGAAGUAUAACAUUUCUUUUUAUUGAUAUUUUUUCUGGCGUUUUUUUUCUUUUUCAAUAAAAAAGGGAUUUGUAAAACACAAACUAAGUAUAAGUUUAAAAAUAUACAAGCACUGUUUUUGGCGGGUAAUGAAUAUUUAAAAAUUUACAUUUAAAAAUUUUUAAUUACAUAAUAUAAUUACUCAUUUGCAUUCUGUUAUCGCUCAAAGACAAGACCCUUUGUUCUGUGUUGGUAUGCAUGCCGUCAGCUCGGAACAGGAUGGCUUAGACUUGGAGCACUGUAGAUGUUUUUGGCCAGUAAAAGGUUGACUGAGUGUCAUGGGAAAUGCAGUCCAUUUACAAGAGACUAAGUUAGCAGUCACUAGCCUUUAUUUAUAGUAAGGUUUAAAGAAAUAGGGGUAUUAGUCUGCAGGAUCCAUUCCCUGGUUCUUGAUCAAACAACUUUUGAAUCCUACGCCCCCAUUCACUGAGAGUGUUAAUUCUUUAGAAAUACAUGUUUUAAAUUAUAGGAUCCCUCCAAACACAAUAACCACUAAUGUGUGCAAGCACCUACUGAGAUCCAGGGAAGUUGCCAAUCUGUACUAAAAUGGUUUGAUAUUUUACCAAUGUCAGGGUGUCUCUGGUGUCUUAAUAGUACGUUGCUAUAGUGCUUUAGCGAAGUGUUCCUUUAAUCCCUUAAGGACCAAACUUCUGGAAUAAAAGGGAAUCAUGACAUGUCACGAGUCCUUAAGGGGUUAAAGCCAUUCAUUGGCUGGGUGUGACAGUUGGUAUAUUAUUAUUUAUAAAGCGCCAACAAACCCGGCAGUGCUGUACAAUAGGUGGUUAAACUGGAACAGAAUGUACUGAGGGCCUUCCUCAAACACGCUUAUAAUCAACAUGUAGUGCCUAUGGUGUCUAAACUGCCUUUUUAGUUUGUAUUUUGCAGCCAACAUUGGUUGUGUGCACUACAGCUAUAUUACUAAAAAGAGAAAGUGAUCAUGUAUCCGGAUAUUUCACAUGGUGUUUGUAGAUAAAUCUAGAUAUGUUUGUAAACUAAUAGGCCGAGAGAUUAGUGGCGGUCAAAGUGCAUCGGCUGAUCAGCCACACAUUGUGUAAACCUUUUCUAAAAUAACCCACACAUUCUCACACGAGAUAUAAUCAAAUCAUUCCUGAACUCCAGCCCUGGAUGCGAUGAUUAUUGUUGUAAAGUCAGGGAGGAAGUGAAGUCUAUAGGUCUGCUCCUUCCCUGAUGUGUGGAUUUACCGCAAGUCAUGUUCAGCGUUACCAGGUCAUUGUGUGACAAAAUGUACGCAGCACUCCUAUUCUGCAGCAACACUUAGUUUCUCUUAGGAGGGGGUGAGGGAGUGUUUCCAAACCUCAGAGGCUAUUCUAAAUUUCCUAUGACUGAGAGCUGGAGUUCAUGGGAACUGAGAGUGGAUCAAUUGCAGGAUGUCUUUGUAUGUUCAAGCAACAGAAUGAAU